GUUGUAUGGUUAAGUGACUAAGCGUACACGGUGGAUGCCUUGGCAGUCAGAGGCGAUGAAAGACGUAGUAACUUGCGAUAAGCCCAGAUUAGGUAGUAACAACCAUUUGAGUCUGGGAUUUCUGAAUGGGGAAACCCACUUACAUAAGUAAGUAUCAUUAACUGAAUACAUAGGUUAAUGAGGCGAACCGGGGGAACUGAAACAUCUAAGUACCCCGAGGAAAAGAAAUCAACCGAGAUUCCGAAAGUAGCGGCGAGCGAAAUUGGACUAGCCCUUAAGCUUUACACGCGUUAGACGAACGGUCUGGAAAGUCCGACGAUACAGGGUGAUAGUCCCGUAGUUGACGACGUGUGUUCAGUGAAAUCGAGUAGGGCGGGACACGUGAUAUCCUGUCUGAAUAUGGGGGGACCAUCCUCCAAGGCUAAAUACUACUGACUGACCGAUAGUGAACCAGUACCGUGAGGGAAAGGCGAAAAGAACCCCUGUGAGGGGAGUGAAAUAGAACCUGAAACCGUGUACGUACAAGCAGUAGGAGCAGGCUUGUCCUGUGACUGCGUACCUUUUGUAUAAUGGGUCAGCGACUUAUAUUCAGUGGCAAGGUUAACCAUCUAGGGGAGCCGUAGGGAAACCGAGUCUUAACUGGGCGUUCAGUCUCUGGAUAUAGACCCGAAACCAGGUGAUCUAGCCAUGGGCAGGUUGAAGGUUGAGUAACAUCAACUGGAGGACCGAACCGACUAAUGUUGAAAAAUUAGCGGAUGACUUGUGGCUAGGGGUGAAAGGCCAAUCAAACCUGGAGAUAGCUGGUUCUCCCCGAAAGCUAUUUAGGUAGCGCCUCGGACGAAUACUACUGGGGGUAGAGCACUGUUAAGGCUAGGGGGUCAUCCCGACUUACCAACCCUUUGCAAACUCCGAAUACCAGUAAGUACUAUCCGGGAGACACACGGCGGGUGCUAACGUCCGUCGUGGAGAGGGAAACAACCCAGACCGCCAGCUAAGGUCCCAAAUUACUACUAAGUGGGAAACGAUGUGGGAAGGCUCAGACAGCCAGGAUGUUGGCUUAGAAGCAGCCAUCAUUUAAAGAAAGCGUAAUAGCUCACUGGUCGAGUCGGCCUGCGCGGAAGAUGUAACGGGGCUAAGUAGUAAACCGAAGCUGCGGCAAUGUGCUUUUGCACAUUGGGUAGGGGAGCGUUCUGUAAGCGGUUGAAGGUGUGUGGUAACGCAUGCUGGACGUAUCAGAAGUGCGAAUGCUGACAUGAGUAACGAUAAAGGGGGUGAAAAACCUCCUCGCCGGAAGACCAAGGGUUCCUGUCCAACGUUAAUCGGGGCAGGGUAAGUCGACCCCUAAGGCGAGGCCGAAAGGCGUAGUCGAUGGGAAACGGGUUAAUAUUCCCGUACUUCUUACAAUUGCGAUGGGGGGACGGAGAAGGCUAGGUGGGCCUGGCGACGGUUGUCCAGGUUCAAGUGCGUAGGCUUGAGAGUUAGGUAAAUCCGGCUCUCUCUAAGGCUGAGACACGACGUCGAGCACCUACGGGUGUGAAGUCAUUGAUGCCAUGCUUCCAGGAAAAGCCUCUAAGCUUCAGAUUGUAAGGAAUCGUACCCCAAACCGACACAGGUGGUCGGGUAGAGAAUACCAAGGCGCUUGAGAGAACUCGGGUGAAGGAACUAGGCAAAAUGGUACCGUAACUUCGGGAGAAGGUACGCUCUCGACGGUGAAGUCCCUUGCGGAUGGAGCUAUUGAGAGUCGCAGAUACCAGGUGGCUGCAACUGUUUAUUAAAAACACAGCACUGUGCAAAAUCGUAAGAUGACGUAUACGGUGUGACGCCUGCCCGGUGCCGGAAGGUUAAUUGAUGGGGUUAGACUUCGGUCGAAGCUCUUGAUCGAAGCCCCGGUAAACGGCGGCCGUAACUAUAACGGUCCUAAGGUAGCGAAAUUCCUUGUCGGGUAAGUUCCGACCUGCACGAAUGGCGUAAUGAUGGCCACGCUGUCUCCACCCGAGACUCAGUGAAAUUGAAAUCGCUGUGAAGAUGCAGUGUACCCGCGGCUAGACGGAAAGACCCCGUGAACCUUUACUACAGCUUGGCACUGAACAUUGACCCUACAUGUGUAGGAUAGGUGGGAGGCUUUGAAGCACGUACGCCAGUAUGUGUGGAGCCGUCCUUGAAAUACCACCCUUGUAGUGUUGAUGUUCUAACGUCGACCCCU
rnacentral:rRNA from 1 species